UUCUUUUCGGUGUUCGGCACAGGAAGGUUUGGGCUUCCAGGAGGGAUUAUCCCAUAAGAAA
rnacentral:tRNA from 1 species